CAGGUAUUUGGCGGUGGUUGUCACCAAAGGGCUGUUCCCGCCCAGCUGGGUUGGCAGGAAAGCCAAAUCGAUAAAGCGCAGGAGAUAAGCAGAUUCAAGAGAAGACACAGAGGGUUAUAGGGCGAUUUCCAAACAGUUCCUGCGAAUUUGCUGGAGUGGGCGAAGGGCCUGCUUGGCCGGGCCCCUCGCACGUAGGGUGGGGGCUCCUCGCCUUGCUCUCUGAGAGGUGGAGGACAUGACUGGGAGCCUCAGAGACUCUGGCUUGAGGCUCCACCACUUCUGAGUUGGGUGCCCUCGGUCUCAGUCUCCUCAUCUGUGAAAUGACAUGAGACCUGGCAUGCGCGUUGCUUAGCUGGGCUUGGCCUGAACGAAGUGUCCGUUAAGCAGCAGUCAUUGCUCUUCUAGCCCCUGCGACACCUCUUGGCAGCUGCGCAACCUCGGGUACCAUCAGAGGAGGCUGGGCUGGGCCUGCCAGUCACCCUCCCCGAGGCAGACUCCUGAGGAAACCCUGGGCCCCUUGCAGUCAGACGGUACAUGCAGCUGGGGGCUCCUGAGCCUGCUUCACACAGAACCAGAGACCAGGAGAUGCAGCGACUGGCCCAUGGCCACCAGGCAGGCCCAGCAAGGGGAGUGGCGGAAGCUGCCCCUGAGGGUCUCAUGGCAAGAGCCCCAGGCUCCCAGGCCGCCUGCCCUGGGUGCAGCACUUCACCCUUGCAGACCCCCGGUUCUCUCCAUGAGCCAAACAACCCAUGUGGCAGCAGGUUCCCGGCCUUGCUUUGCACCCCAAGCCUGCAGGGGUGACCUGGCUCCAGACUCUGCCUCCUGAGGAGAGGCUGGUACUGCCCGAAGAACCGGGAGGCUGAGGAGGAAAAGGCCACGGUCCGCAGGGCACCCUCUGAGGCAAGCUGCCCACAGGACUCUCCCAUUGACACCGUAUCCGGCUCUCCCUGGCCGGGCCUGGGGCAGCCCGUGGUGCCAGACUGUGAACCGCAUCCAGAUGAUUCCAACACCCAUUCCCUCCUUCCUGUAAAGAGCCUGGGGUGCUCGGCCUGGCCGCCCGGGGGCAGCACGAAAUGAAGGGCGGGCUGUGCCCGGAGGAGCCCACCGGCCUGUUUCCUCAUUCGCAGGAAGCGUGCGCUGCAGGUGGGUGCUUGCGGGCCUCUCCCUGGGCUCCUGGGUCCUGUCUCCCCAGCCCAGGGCCCAGCCCAGCGAGGCUCUGAGACCCUCUGCAGGCAGGGAGUCGACAGCUGCUGCCCCAAGGCCGGUCUUCCACCUUCUCUCUGCGGGGGAUCUUUCCAGCAAGUGCCUUUUUCGAGACUGAAGUUAUUCCAGCACUUCACGUCACGAAUGAAAUCCCUGGACCUGUGCUGGGCACCCUGCAGGCCCUGCUGCAGAGCGGGGUCCAACCUCAGCCCUGGGCCUUGUGGGCAGGCUUCAGGGGAGGAAUCCGGGCCUGUUGGGGAAGGGAGGCCUGCUGGCGGCCAGUGUCAGGCUGGCCACAGAGCAGGGGCCCCCACCUUCUCUCGGCGUCGCCUCAACCCUUGGCACGAGCGGGGAGCCCCCUUUAUGCCUCGCUCAACUUGGGUUUUACCUCGAGGCCCAGAGGUUCUGGCUGUUUCUGGGCCAGCUUUGAGCUGGAGUGUCACAAGUUCUGAGGACAAGCUGUGAUGCCACCUCUAGGGAUUGCCAGAGCCCAUGCUGCCCGGGAAAGGCUCCUCCCGGCACAACCUCACCCGACUGUCCUCGGUGGGGAGCCCAAGGUGCAGCAACAUUGCACCGGGCCCCAUGCUCAGCCUAUGAGGCAGGGAUGUCACAAGCCCAUUCUCUAGCUGUGGAAGCUGAGGCUCAGACUGAGCCCAGCAGCUGACAGACAUUCCAGGCUCAUGGCACCCGACCUGCCGGGGCUUGGGGGCUCUUUCCCGAGGUGUUCUCCCUGGCCCUCCUUUCGGGAACUGGGGGUACCUGGCUAGGGUGGGGGCGGGGAGGACCCAGUGGCUGCACCCUACCCGGCAGCUCCGAUAGGGCGGGGGGGUCAGACGGCCGAGAACCUUCCCCUCUGCUGGGCUGUGGCCUUCCUGCCACAGAGCCAAGGAGCAGCGGCCACAUUCUUGCUCUUUUUUUUUUUUUUAUUGCCAAAUUCAAAUUUACAAGGAAGUUCCAGUUUUCAUUUCCACCCUUGUGUUCAGUACCCACGAAGCAUGAGUCAUGCUGGCGAGAGCAGGUACUUCCCUGGAAUGGUCCCGAAGCCCAGAAAGCAUGAGGUUUCUCAAUCCCACUCCACCCCGGGACAAGAAUUAUUUACAUAUUUUCAACUCGGAGGAACAUAAGGAACCCUUACAGUUUCCGCCCCCUGUCAUCGUGACUACAUUAAAUAUUUCUUAUUUAUUGCGUCUAGAAAAGAAGGUGAGUGUUGGUCCUCACCCCGCCUCACGCCUUUUGGACCAGUGCAUCUUGAGACCUUAGGGAAAUCUAGUGUAUGUCUGUAGAGAGGUGCAUUCCGUCACUCAGCCGCUGGUUGCAGGGCAGGUGUCUGGGGGGGGCGCGGCGAGCUGCCUUCUGCAGAGAGUAGCACGCAGGGCAGGCCUGGAGGGGCAAGGGGGCACAGAGGGUCUGCUGGUGCCGCAGGACAAUCAAUACCCUCUCCCGGAUGGGUGGGGGAGCACGUGGCUGUCUGACUUUGAGGCGCCCCUGCUGGCAAACCAGAAACACAUGUGCUUUUCCCUAGCCACUUUCAAAGCUGAUAUUUGGGGGUAGAUGUGACCAGCUCUGCCCCUGACUUGGCAAACCCGGUCUCUGGAGGAUGUGGAAAUGGAGGGAUGGUGAUCUGAGUCUGGUACCCAUGUGUCACGUGGCCAUGGCCCCCGCCCCCCUCAGGCUCACCAAGAAUUCCUGGUUCUAACUCUCUCUGCCCCGGAGACCCAGUGCCUGCUGUCUAGAAGGGCCCCUCUGGAGGUGCCCCCACUGUUCGCUUUUCAGGGGUGCUCCUGAAGACACGGCUGUGCCCAGUGUUGCCCAGACAGUGGGGAUCUGGCUGCCAGCAGGCUGUGGGCGGCCCGGGACCAACCCUGCGAGCCCACCUAGGGAGAGGUCUGCCCCUGGGCCAGGCAUGGGGUGGAAGCCUGGCCUGAUUGCACCUUCUGCUCAACAGCCCAUGGAGGCCGGUCUGCGUUUAGCUCUCCCGCCUGGCGAUGCUGCCCCGGGUCCUUCCGGGCACGUGGUCCCUGCUGGCCAAGACCUUGCUCCUUCAGAGCUUGAAGGGCUGGGUCCACCUGCCUGGGCUUCUUCCUCAGAAUAAUGUCACUGGCCUUUCCUCCUUUCUGCUGCUCCAAAAUCGUUUCAAAAG